rnacentral:lncRNA from 1 species
CCCACCUAAGCCGAAGUCGCCCCUGACGAGGCUAGGCGGUACUCGUUGAUGAUGUCCUUGAACUGCCAUAGUUCGUCACCAUAUUCCCAGCUUGCUUCUGAAUCUGAUAGUCCUUUCCAUCGGACUAAGUAUUGCACACGGUUACCCUUUUUCGUAUCUGCCUUGAUUUCAGAAACCUUCUUGGUGUAAUGAACUCGUACGGCUACUGGAGCUC